rnacentral:rRNA from 1 species
GACGAACCACCCAAACGUUAUUCGGAAUUACUGGGCGUAAAGAGCGCGCAGGCGGUCGUUCAAGUCGCGUGUGAAAGCCCCCGGCUCAACUGGGGAGGGUCACGCGAUACUGAUCGACUCGAAGGCAGGAGAGGGUAGUGGAAUUCCCGGUGUAGUGGUGAAAUGCGUAGAUAUCGGGAGGAACACCAGUGGCGAAGGCGACUACCUGGCCUGUUUCUUGACGCUGAGGCGCGAAAGCUAGGGGAGCAAACGGG